rnacentral:lncRNA from 1 species
CUCGGCUGGGGUCUGGGCAGUGCCCAAUUUCGGUGGGACCAUCUCACCAUAGAACCAUUAGCCUCCGGGUUGCCAGUGCGAAUCCAGCGGGUGACGGCUGGAAGUCGUUCCCAUCUAUUGAGUGAAAUGAGCUCGUUGGGGGCUCGGGCUAAGGCCGGAGCAUCCUGUCACACGUACCCCCCAGCCCCAUGGGCCACACAGAGACCGAAUUCCCCUCUCCCCGGGGGGCUGUUGCAGGCGAUCGGAUUGCAACCGGCAGGGCCGGCUCCAGGGUUUUGCCGCCCCAAGUGGCGGGGGAGUGGGGGGAGGAGGGAAGCCACGACUGGCGGCAGCUCCACCGCGCCACUUCAUUCUUCGUUCUUCGGCGGCAAUUUUUCCCUCCGAGAGGGACUGAGGGACCUGCUGCUGAAGAGCCGGACGUGCCGCCCCUUCGCCUUGGCCGCCCUGUGCUGGUGCCUGGAGCCGGCCCUGGUAACCGGGGUGGGGGCGUGAUCUGGUCCCUCCAAGGUCCUGCACGGGGACAUCAGCUGCUGGGGCGAUCGGGUGCUGGAGGCUCGGCAGGAGGCAGAGCUCUUCCAGAGGGAGGCGCUAUACGGACCCCUGGGGACCCCGCCCGGCAGCCUCCUGUGGGAGGAGAGAGUGCGUGUCCAGACGGAGAAGCUGCUGUGUCAGGAGUCGGGGGCCUCAGGGCCAAGGGGGCGACUCCCCCCCAGGCUGCGGCUGGCUGGGCUGCUCUUCUGGGCCCUGGCCAAGGCCCUGUUCCUGGCCCUGCUGGGCACCCUGGUGCUGGGCCCCAUCUGUGCCCUGCUGUCGCGCCAGCCCCACCCUCCGCCUGCCGGGCCCCAGCUCUGCGACUGCCUGUGCCCCAAGGAGACGCUGCCCCCCUGAGCCACGCGGGGCUAAUAAAC